GUUUGUAUUUCAUUCAUUCAGUGUAUUUAUGCUGGCGAACGAGAAUGAUACUGAAUUAUCGUAGUGCUUUUCUAGCUAACUGUGAUAAAUAAUACCGAAGAAAUGAUGAAGACUGAUGAAGAACAACUAACGGAUACCAAUACUGAUAAGACAGAAACAACUGUAGCUUUAGUGACGUCAAAAGUCAAAGUGUUGUCCAUUGGAAAUCAGGAAGAAUACUUGAAGCCAGAAAAGCCGAUGGAAACGGAAUUUGAUAAACAAAUCUUUUAUGAUGAAUGUAGGAAGCAUUUUGGUCAACUCUUAUUGGGUAGUAAAACGCCCCUUGCGUCCAAUAAUUGGUUUGUAAUGGAUUUGUUCGAAAUGAAAACAAUUGAGGAAGACGAUCAACCCAGACGAUAUCAGUUUGAGUGUAAUAUUGGUGGUUCCCCGGGUAAGUAUGUGGAGCAUGGCGUAUUCGGCCAGACCCUGUAUGCCGACGAAGUAAUGCACGAAUUGAGAAGCCGCCUGAAGGACAAAAAGUGGAUAUCGAAGAAUACAUUGGUAUUGCCAAGGAGAACGGAUCUUACUCGGUCGACCUAUCGCUUUGCAGACGAAUAUUACAUUCACAAUAUGAUUGUUGGCAUCAUCCAAGAACAGAAAUUCAAAAUAUUUAAGUUUUUGCUAUAUUUACACCAAGAAUAUGUACGUGAAAGGCAUAAGAAUAGAUUUUAAGAACCGUAAAAUUAUUUUCUAUAUAAGCAUUUCCAUCCAAUAGUAUAUGCUCUUUGUAAGAUAUAUUAUAUAAAAAGAAAUAUAACUGUAUUGAAAACGAUGCAUAAUGCCAAGAUAAUGGAUGAAACUAAAACUGAAUCAAUUAUGGACAACAAUAAUGACUGUAGCUUUGUUAGCAUCAGAAGUGAAAGUGUUAUCCAUCGGAAAUCAGGAAGAACACUUUAAGCCAAAGAAGCCCUUAAUAGAAUUCGAUAAACAAGUUUUUUUUGGAUGACUGUAGAAAGCAUUUUGGUCAACUCUUAUUGGGAAAUCGAGCACCUUCUGGCUCCGGCCAAUACAAACGUUAAAAUGGAUUUGUUUGAAGUGACAACUAUUGAACAAGAUAAAUUUAAAGACAAUUGCAUACAAUAUGAUACUCUGUUCGUAGAUAUAUAUGAACAAUUUAGUAUUAAAUUUAUUUUCUGGGCUUAAAGUAAAAAAUGUUGAACUUGAACUUAAUUUGAGAAAUCGCAGAGUAGAUAUUAGAAUGUAUAUAUGUAUGUACAAAGGUAUCUCUUUCAAAAGCUGUAAUUGAGCUUUCUAAGCUUUCUUAUGAAAUCAUAUAUUCUGCGGCAAAUUUAGUAUAUAAAUACAGCACAAAGUAUAAAGACCUGUUGUCAACCUCUGUGUUCAUUUUCAACAAAUAUAGUCUAAGGAUUAAAAAUAUAUAUAUAUUAAUUAUUAUAUCUAAAUUAAAAGUACAAAUGGAUGAAACAAUGAAUUCAACGAUAUUAGCUAUAGGAGAUAAGUCGGAGGCCUUAGAACAUGAAGGGGCUAAAAUGAAAAAUAACAUACGAAAUUUGAAUGCCGACUAUAAAGAUUAUUUAAGGCAACUCUUAAUGAUAAAUCCAAUACCUAAAGACAUGGCAGAUGGCGAGUAUCCAAUUGAAUGGUUUGGCAUGGAAACCAUUAGGAGGGAAAAUCAACCCAAUCUUUAUAAAUUUUACUGUUUCCCCGCAAAGAAAACUCAUCCCACGAAUACCAAUUUAUAUUUCUUCAAUCAGACAAUUAAUGCAUAUGCCCUAUUGCGGGAGGUUAGAGCAAUCCUUAAGAAUGAACAUUGGCUGUCAAAAUAUGUGCUAACUGGACCUUUGAAAGCCAAUUUAGAUGGUUGGGGCUAUAGUCCCGAGGAAAAUUAUAUUCGGAACGCAGUUUAUAGGGCAUAUCAAGCCGAAAGUCGUAGACGAUGGCAGGCCAUAUUUCCCUAUGUGCUCUAUUUACACAGGCAGCAUGUAAAAAAUAAAUAAAUGAGCUACGAGCCACUCA